ACAAGGAAAAGGGACAAAGGAAGAGAAAGAAGAAGGUCAUCAUGAGGCAGGAUGGACCAUGAGCACAUGGCCAAGAGAAGCUCGCCCUGAGGACAAACAUGGAGGAGAGCAAGCUGGGAAAGCCUCAGAUUGCACAGCGUGGCAGCUUCAUUUUUUAAUUAAGCAAAUGGCUUUGGAGAGCUGGGAGUGUGGUCGGAUGUUAGUUCACUUGCCUAGCACGUGCAAGACCCUGGCUUGAAGCUUCGUCACCACAACAAACAAACAAACACCAGGAUAACUUUAAAUGGAUACAUUUUGCUAAGAGGGCAAAGCUGGAUAACCGGAAGCGGAAGAAGAUGCAGCAGGAGAGAAACAGCGGACUCUCUGGGGAUCAGGAGGAAGCAACUGCCCCAGCUUUUCCAGUUUGACUGUGACUGCCCAUUUUUGUGAACACCAUCUCACAUUAAUACUGCACUUUAUUCAGCUUUCUAAAAGCCACACAUUGGCAGGAAGUAUAAAACAUGCUUUGGACCAAAAACUGAAAAUAGUCGUCCUAUAACUACAGAAAUGCUGAGACCAUAGGGUGACUGCAAGCAGAUGUAUCUGCAGAAGUACAAAAUGCAC
rnacentral:lncRNA from 1 species